GAUGAACGCUGGCGGCGUGCUUAACACAUGCAAGUCGAACGAAGCACUUUAUUUGAUUUCCUUCGGGACUGAUUAUUUUGUGACUGAGUGGCGGACGGGUGAGUAACGCGUGGGUAACCUGCCUUGUACAGGGGGAUAACAGUUGGAAACGGCCGCUAAUACCGCAUAAGCGCACAGCAUCGCAUGAUGCAGUGUGAAAAACUCCGGUGGUAUAAGAUGGACCCGCGUUGGAUUAGCUAGUUGGUGAGGUAACGGCCCACCAAGGCGACGAUCCAUAGCCGACCUGAGAGGGUGACCGGCCACAUUGGGACUGAGACACGGCCCAAACUCCUACGGGAGGCAGCAGUGGGGAAUAUUGCACAAUGGGCGAAAGCCUGAUGCAGCGACGCCGCGGGAGCGAAGAAGUAUUUCGGUAUGUAAAGCUCUAUCAGCAGGGAAGAUAAUGACGGUACCUGACUAAGAAGCACCGGCUAAAUACGU
rnacentral:rRNA from 1 species